GAUGAACGCUGGCGGCGUGCUUAACACAUGCAAGUCGAACGGAAAGGCUCCUGCUUGCAGGGGUACUCGAGUGGCGAACGGGUGAGUAACACGUGGGUGAUCUGCCCUGCACUUCGGGAUAAGCCUGGGAAACUGGGUCUAAUACCGGAUAGGACGAUGGUUUGGAUGCCAUUGUGGAAAGUUUUUUCGGUGUGGGAUGAGCUCGCGGCCUAUCAGCUUGUUGGUGGGGUAAUGGCCUACCAAGGCGUCGACGGGUAGCCGGCCGGAGAGGGUGUACGGCCACAUUGGGACGGAGAUGAGGCCCAGAAUCCUACGGGAGGCAGCAGUGGGGAAUAUUGCACAAUGGGCGGAAGCCUGAUGCAGCGACGCCGCGUGGGGGAUGACGGCCUUCGGGUUGUAAACUCCUUUCGCUAGGGACGAAGCGCAAGUGACGGUACCUGGAGAAGAAGCACCGGCUAACUACGUG
rnacentral:rRNA from 1 species